GAAAGACAUGUCCUUGUUUGCGCGCCCGGAUGCUUUGUAAAACUCGAACCUCUCCUUGAGAUCCGCUGCGAGGUCAUGCUUGGGCUGCCAGUCGAGCAGCUUGAGCGCAUUGGCGGGGUAAGAAUAGAAAUGAAUGGGCCUGAAUGGGAACGCCUUCUUGACCUCCACGCCUUCAGGCAGUUUCUUCGGAUCGUAGUUCACGAUCUUGGGCUCGACACCCGCAGCAGCCGCGCAGAGCUGCACCAUGCCGUUGAGCGUAACUGCUUUGUUGGUCACCGCAUUGAAGAUGACGCCGUUCGCGGCUGGGUUACCGACCGCCGCAGCC
rnacentral:lncRNA from 1 species